CCUAACCGCGUACGCACGCAGCAGCUGGUCACAUUUCCUUCAAAGAUCCAGGAGCAGAGUGUUCUGUCCCGGCCACCUUUCGGGUGGUGUUGGGGCCGGCCGGCCGGCCUGCCUACCUACCUACCUACCUACCUACCUACCACCGCUCGCUCACCCCUAUUUGCCUGGCGCUGCUAAGAACGGCAAGCUCCCAUUUGUAGGCCUUGGCCGAGAAGAAAGAGCCAGUGUGUGGCCGGACCCCACGGUGGCUUAAAGCCACCAAUUACGGGUUCCCGCUCUGGCGCUUCCCCCUCCAGCUGGAGGUGGAGUUGGCUAGUGAGCUCGUUGAUUGCAAGCGGCUUGCGUGAUCGCGCGCAGGAUUAGGGCUAGGGACUGAGUGAGGAAGAAGACGGAGGCGCCAUUUGCUGCAGCAACACUCCACCUCUCUGGUGUACGAAAGCGAGUGGCAGUCGGGAACCUCCACAGGGAAAAGCUUCAAACCUGAGCCUGCCCACCCACCAAUUUAUCACUGAAUAAGCUUCCAUGUGAAUGUUGUUCACCAUUUGCAAGCAACACAACAACAGUGAUAGCCUCUGACCGAAAGACUAGACAAGCUUGAAGUGACAGGCGCCGGGAUGUCCUCACUGCUGCUACUCUUGAAGAAGCAGACGAUUAUGAUCUGUUGUUCAGAAAGGGGAUGAGAAACCCACACAUUACCAGCAAGGCAGAGUUUCAGAGUAAUCCUUAGGGACCUGAUUGUUAAUGAGAAUAAUGCUGAUUCUCCUGAGGCCCAAUGCAAAAACUACAUCUUUCAGAUUACUCACCAGGAUCUAGCUAGCAGCCUGAUGAAUGUAAGAAGAGAAGCAUAGUCCAGCACCUGCUGCAUGUACCAGAUAGGACACAUUCAGCACAUGGACAAAUAUAAAGAUUUAGCACCUAAUCAACUAUGAUUGAUUUUUAAACAACUAAACAGAAUCAAAUGGGAGAUACUUGGAUAGGAGAUCCCUAGGAACAUCACUUAUGGACUAGACUAGAAAGUCUGAAGAAAGUGCUUGCAGAGGUAUAUACAUACAUACAUACAUAUAUACACACAUAUACACACACAUACAUACAUCAGAAGAAUGCAAUGACAGACCCUUUUGUAUUGUUGCCAAGAAAAUUACAAGACUAUGAGGCUGUAGUCACCAGAAGUCAAGCUCAGCUGGAGGAGACUUACCAUUGCAUUUAUGCUGUUUUCCAUUCAGAAAACCCUUUGAUUUCCUACUGUGUUGGAUUAUUAGAGGUUGUAUUUAUGUAAAUACUGAGUAUUUGUAACAUGAAAACAAAUUCCUUGUCCUGUCAGAAUGGAAUAAUGUGAAUCACAAAAGGAAAUGUUAUGGAAAAAUGUAAGAUAUGCUGGCCGCAUCCUUGAACAGGAAUCUGCUCAGUCCCUCAGGGAGUCAGUCUUUUCACAAUCUUUGUUCCAGAAAAGCAGCCUCAGAACAGACAUUCUCCUUCAAUAUUAAGCUUUCUGAUUUUACAUUAAGCCCUGUCCUCAUUUGCACCAAAGCCCUUUCAUCUUUCUUGCCUUAACCCCAGAACAUCACCUUUAGCAUCUCCCAAGCCCCUGAACAAAGCAGCCUUAAGUCAUUAUUAGCAACACAGGUACAGUAUGAAAGUAGAAUUUCCCCCCUUAUUCUUCUUAAAGUAUUUGAAGUCUGUUAUGCUUCAACACCUGUUACUUCAGAGUAGGUUAUUAUUAGUAGAUGUAAUCAAAGGUGUGUUUUGCUCUGUAUUUUUGGAGUUUCUUUUCUUUCUCCUCACCACACCCCUCCCCUGGUCCCCUACAAUUCUGAAAACAACUGCUCUGCUGGCUUUCAACAAAGUUGAGAAUAGCAAAAUGAACUUUACUUAUUUUGUGAGGUAUGGGGGAGGGGGCAGCGGUGGAAUUCAAUUUUUUUUACUACCGGUUCUGUGGGUCUGGCUUGGUGGAUGCGGCAGGGGAAGAAUACUGCAAAAUCUCCAUUUCCACCCCACGCCAGGGGAAGGAUAGUGCAAAAUUCCCAUUCACUCCCCACUCCUGGGGGUUAUUGCAAAAUCUCCAUUCCCACCCCACUCCAGGGGAAGGAUACUGCAAAAUUCCCAUUCGCUCCCCACUCCUGGGGGUUACUGCAAAAUCUCCAUUCCCACCCCACUCCAGGGGAAGGAUACUGCAAAAUUCCCAUUCGCUCCCCACUCCUGGGGGUUACUGCAAUAACUCCAUUCCCACCCCACUUUGGGGCCAGCUAGAGGUGGUAUUUGUGAACUACUCAAAAUUUCCACUACCGGUUCUUCAGAACCUGUCAGAACCUGCUGAAUUUCAGGGGGGGGGGAGGAAAUGAUGCUAAACCACCUCAAUCCUAUUCACAAAUGAAUCAUUAAUUGGAUUAAAAUGGUUAAAAUGCAGGCAGAUCUGCCUUUCCUCACUGCUUCCACUGGAACUACCUAAUGAAUAAUGACAGAAGGUUUUGCUUCCAUUCUCUCUCAGGUUAUUUUUCCCCUAGUAUGUUCCCAUAUACCAUAUUUUUUCUAAUAUCACAUGAUUUUAACAUGGGAGAUACCCAAUGACAUGUGGAAAGAGGAGUAGGCUCACCAACUUAGGGAAUUCCAGAUAGAGCCUUAAAGUCACACUUACCCCAUUCCUUCUGCAGUGCCCUCCUUAGUGGGUGUUUUUCUAUUGGGUGGUGAUAGACUGAAAGGAAAAGGCAACACAACCAGAAGAGAAAACCAGCUGUCUUGUUUAUAACCAUUGCCACAUUCUCUAUCUAUGACAAGAUCAUUUGGCUUCAUUUUGGGACCUCUGCCAGCAAAAACGGAGCUCAGGAGGGCCACCCAUAGGAGCAGACCAUUUUUGCUGGCAGAGACACCACGGGUCAGUCCUUCACUGUUUCCAGGGUGGCUCCACAGGCCGGAUCUACCCCCCCACACACACCCUUGAGUUUGACACCACUGCACUAGAGGCAGCAUAGACUUUAACAAUGGAAACAGCAACUGUUAUAUCGACAUUGUUUUGUGCUGAUUUAAGGAAUAGUAGGAAGCACUUCAAGCACUUUGGAAAGUCUUCCUUAUUUUCUUGUUUUCCCCCUCUUUUAGAAUGUUCUUUAAUGGCUCUGGAUUAAGUAGACUUUUCUGCAAUGCUCUGGCUACAAAUACACAGCUGCAAAGUAAAGCAUAAUAAGGAGUGUAGGAUCACAUUGCUUCUAGAGUGUAACAGUGUCCACUGAUCUCUCAUCAUGUUCUUUUCCCCCACUCAUUUAAAACAAUGGACCUACUCAGUGUCUGUCUUAGAUGUAAUGUAAAUGAGAGAGCAUCCGUCACAUUACAAGGAUUAUUUUAAAAAAAGUUUAACUUCCUGAAUCCCUUGAAUAAGCUGGAUAACGUUUACUGAAUGGCAAAAUUGACCUGUUAUUGAAGAGAAUAUGUGUAACUUCAUAACAAUCAAAUAAAAUAGUUACCUGCCAGCUCAAAAAAUAAAAAAAUCCAUUUAACCUUUUUCUUUUUUUAAAAAAAUAUUUCUUGUGAAUUUAUAGUGGCUGCUAUUUCUUGUGGAUAUAUUUGGAAAGUAUUGCUGAGAUAAGGAACAUUGGAAAAGCUUCCAGAUUGAUCUUCCCUCUAUCUAGUGCUUUGUCUUUGUUCAUAAAAUGCAGAUAUUAGCCAACUAGAAUAAAAAAUAAAAAAUGCAGACAUGAAGGUGGACAUUCUGUGGUUCACAAAAAUUAGUGGUCUGCAUAAAUCAUCUUAAUUAGUCAUGCUGUUUAACACUGCUAGAAGCUGGAAUUCAGCAAGUUCUGGAGGGCACAGUUUACCCAUCCCUGUUUUGAAUAAGGCUUCAUCACCUGUUGUCUCCAGAAAUCUUAGCCAAAACUCUGGUUAUCUGCAUUUGCCAUUCUGCCUGGAGGAUUAUGGAAGUUGAAACCUAUUACAUCUGGAAGUCAUAAAUAUAUAUUACAAAUUUUGAAAUAAUAGAAUUAUAAAGCUUAUUAUAGAUGGACUCUAAAUGGGGGGGGAGAAACAGCAUUUUUCUAACCUGAAUGUUAAUAACUGUUUAGAAAAUGUUAAAUAUUAGCCUAGUUUUACUAGCAACAUUUUGCCUGCAGAUUAGAUUAAAUCCAACUCCUCAAUGAGUGAAAUAAGAGUUGUGUGUAUAUGUAUAACUCACACUAAGGUUCAUGUGUAUGUUCAGAACUUUGGCUUUAAUCAGUAACACCCUCAUCACAGAAGAGUAGUUGUUUCCCUUAAACAUUUGUGCCAAUUUCUUGUAAUGAGGUACACACACACACACACACACACACACACACACAGGCUUUUUGAAACAAACUUGAAAGGUAAAUAUCUUACAUCUCAGGUAUAGAUAUAUUUCUCAGUGCAGAUAAGACACCUUUGUCUUUAACAUUCAUAUGCCAUAGCUAUGGUGCUUAAAUAGCUGCUAUUAGGAAAUUUCUUUCUUCAAGGUAUGUUGAUGGUGAGCCCUGAGGAUUCUAAUAUACCUGAGUGAUACCCAUUGGGAUAUAUCCCUAUUAGGUAUCUAUAAACAAAAAAAAAAAGUAUGGCUGCCUCCUGGGCUAUGGUGGUAGAACCAUCCUUUCUUGAUCUAUAGAUUCCUUAUUUAUGUUUUAUACCUAAUAUUCUUCCCUCCUCCUAUUUUCCUCACAUCAGCUCUGUGAGGUGGGUUAAGCUGUGAGGGAACAAGUUGUCCAAAGUCACCCAGCCAGCUUUCAUGCCUAAGGCAGGAUGAGAAUUCUCAGUCUCCUGGUUUCCAGCCUGGUGGCUUAACCACUAGACCAAACUCGCUUUCAUGCCAAGUACAAGAAUCCCAGUUGAUC